CGUUUUGGAGGUGGGCAAAACCCGUCCCCCACACACCUCACAGGAGGUCAAAAGAGAUGCAGGAACAGGCGGUCAUGCCCAAAACG
rnacentral:ncRNA from 22 species